AGAGUUUGAUCAUGGCUCAGGACGAACGCUGGCGGCGCGCUUAACACAUGCAAGUCGAGCGAGAACCAGGCUUCGGCCCUGGGACAGCGGCGAACGGGUGAGUAACACGUGGAUAACCUGCCCUCGGCACCGGGAUAGCCCGAGGAAACUCGGAUUAAUACCGGAUAGCCUUUCCGACUCUCGAGUCGGUUCGAAAAGGUAGCUUSSSSCUCUGGCCGAGGAUGGGUCCGCGGCGGAUUAGCUUGUUGGUGGGGUAAUGGCCUACCAAGGCUCCGAUCCGUAGCUGGUCUGAGAGGACGAUCAGCCACACUGGGACUGAGACACGGCCCAGACUCCUACGGGAGGCAGCAGUGGGGAAUCUUGCGCAAUGGGCGAAAGCCUGACGCAGCGACGCCGCGUGAGGGAAGAAGGCCUUCGGGUUGUAAACCUCUUUCAGGAGGGACGAAGCUACUCGGGUGAAUAGCCCAGAGGGUGACGGUACUUCCAGAAGAAGCCCCGGCUAACUACGUGCCAGCAGCCGCGGUAAU
rnacentral:rRNA from 1 species